rfam:Myotis davidii contig207043, whole genome shotgun sequence.
GCCAGUUGUUCAGUGGUUAGAGCAUUGGCCUGAGGACCCAAAGGUCACAGGUUCGAUUCCUAGUCAAGGGCA